ACUCCUACGGGAGGCAGCAGUGGGGAAUUUUGGACAAUGGGCGAAAGCCUGAUCCAGCCAUGCCGCGUGCAGGAUGAAGGCCUUCGGGUUGUAAACUGCUUUUGUACGGAACGAAACGGCCUUUUCUAAUAAAGAGGGCUAAUGACGGUACCGUAAGAAUAAGCACCGGCUAACUACGUGCCAGCAGCCGCGGUAAUACGUAGGGUGCAAGCGUUAAUCGGAAUUACUGGGCGUAAAGCGUGCGCAGGCGGUUAUGUAAGACAGUUGUGAAAUCCCCGGGCUCAACCUGGGAACUGCAUCUGUGACUGCAUAGCUAGAGUACGGUAGAGGGGGAUGGAAUUCCGCGUGUAGCAGUGAAAUGCGUAGAUAUGCGGAGGAACACCGAUGGCGAAGGCAAUCCCCUGGACCUGUACUGACGCUCAUGCACGAAAGCGUGGGGAGCAAACAGGAUUAGAAACCCGGGUAGUCCCAUG
rnacentral:rRNA from 1 species